GAUGAACGCUGGCGGCGUGCCUAAUACAUGCAAGUCGAGCGAACAGACGAGGAGCUUGCUCCUCUGACGUUAGCGGCGGACGGGUGAGUAACACGUGGAUAACCUACCUAUAAGACUGGGAUAACUUCGGGAAACCGGAGCUAAUACCGGAUAAUAUAUUGAACCGCAUGGUUCAAUAGUGAAAGACGGUUUUGCUGUCACUUAUAGAUGGAUCCGCGCCGCAUUAGCUAGUUGGUAAGGUAACGGCUUACCAAGGCAACGAUGCGUAGCCGACCUGAGAGGGUGGUCGGCCACACUGGAACUGAGACACGGUCCAGGCUACUACGGGAGGCAGCAGUAAGGAAUCUUCCGCAAUGGGCGGAAGCCUGACGGAGCAACGGCGCGUGAGUGAUGAAGGUCUUCGGAUCGUAAAACUCUGUUAUUAGGAAAGAACAAAUGUGGAAGUAACUAUGCACGGCUUGACGGUACCUAAUCAGAAAGCCACGGCUAACUACGUG
rnacentral:rRNA from 1 species